GUGAACGCUGGCGGUAGGCCUAACACAUGCAAGUCGAACGGCAGCACAGGAGAGCUUGCUCUCUGGGUGGCGAGUGGCGGACGGGUGAGGAAUACAUCGGAAUCUGCCCAGUCGUGGGGGAUAACGUAGGGAAACUUACGCUAAUACCGCAUACGACCUUCGGGUGAAAGAGGGGGAUCGCAAGACCUCUCGCGAUUGGAUGAGCCGAUGUCGGAUUAGCUAGUUGGCGGGGUAAUGGCCCACCAAGGCGACGAUCCGUAGCUGGUCUGAGAGGAUGAUCAGCCACACUGGAACUGAGACACGGUCCAGACUCCUACGGGAGGCAGCAGUGGGGAAUAUUGGACAAUGGGCGCAAGCCUGAUCCAGCCAUACCGCGUGGGUGAAGAAGGCCUUCGGGUUGUAAAGCCCUUUUGUUGGGAAAGAAAUCUUUCAGGCUAAUAUCCUGGGAGGAUGACGGUACCCAAAGAAUAAGCACCGGCUAACUUCGUG
rnacentral:rRNA from 1 species